AUUGAACGCUGGCGGCAGGCCUAACACAUGCAAGUCGAACGAGUGGCGGACGGGUGAGUAAUGUCUGGGAAACUGCCUGAUGGAGGGGGAUAACUACUGGAAACGGUAGCUAAUACCGCAUACUAUCAGAUGAGCCCAUGUCGGAUUAGCUUGUUGGUGGGGUAAAGGCUUACCAAGGCGACGAUCCCUAGCUGGUCUGAGAGGAUGACCAGCCACACUGGAACUGAGACACGGUCCAGACUCCUACGGGAGGCAGCAGUGGGGAAUAUUGCACAAUGGGCGCAAGCCUGAUGCAGCCAUGCCGCGUGUAUGAAGAAGGCCUUCGGGUUGUAAAGUACUUUCAGUGGGGAGGCGUUACCGGCAGAAGAAGCACCGGCUAACUCCGUGCCAGCAGCCGCGGUAAUAC
rnacentral:rRNA from 1 species